GAGGGAAGCUUGCUUCUCUGCUGACGAGUGGCGGACGGGUGAGUAAUGUCUGGGAAGCUGCCUGCUUGAGGGGGAUAGCGGAGCGAAAGUUCCGAUAAUACCGCGUAAGCCCGAGAGGGGAAAGUGCGGGACCGCAAGGCCGCACGCGAGCAGAUGCGCCCAGAUGGGAUUAGGCAGUUGGGGAGGUAACGGCUCACCAAACCGAUGAUCUCUAGCUGGUUUGAGAGGACAAUCAGCCACAUUGGAAUUGAGAAACGGACCAAACUCCUACGGGAGGCAGCAGUGGGGAAUAUUGCACAAUGGGGGAAACCCUGAUGCAGCCAUGCCGCGUGUGUGAAGAAGGCCUUCGGGUUGUAAAGCACUUUUGCAUUCGAGGAAGACAGCGUAUAAAUAAAUGCGCUAUUUGACGUUAGAGUGUGAAUAAGCACCGGCAAACUCCGUGCCAGCAGCCGCGGUAAUACGGAGGGUGCGAGCGUUAAUCGGAAUGACUGGGCGUAAAGGGCACGCAGGUGGCGAGAUAAGUUGGAUGUGAAAUUCCCGUGCUUAACAUGGGGACUGCAUCCAAAACUGUUGAACUGGAGUACUGUAGAGGGAGGUAGAAUUCCACGUGUAGCGGUGAAAUGCGUAGAGAUGUGGAAGAAUACCAGAGGCGAAGGCGGCCUCCUGGACAGAUACUGACACUGAGGUGCGAAAGCGUGGGUAGCAAACAGGAUUAGAUACCCUG
rnacentral:rRNA from 1 species